rnacentral:rRNA from 1 species
UACGAAGGGGGGCUAGCGUUGUUCGGAUUUACUGGGCGUAAAGCGCACGUAGGCGGAUCGAUCAGUCAGGGGUGAAAUCCCAGGGCUCAACCCUGGAACUGCCGUUUGAUACUGCGAUCUGGAGUAUGGAAGAGGUGAGUGGAAUUCCGAGUGUAGAGGUGAAAUUCGUAGAUAUUCGGAGGAACACCAGUGGCGAAGGCGGCUCACUGGUCCAUUACUGACGCUGAGGUGCGAAAGCGUGGGGAGCAAACAGG